UUUCGUUCUUCUUCUUUCUUCUUCUCUUUUCUCUUCUUCUCUUGUUCUUCCUUCUCUGGGUAAUUCGAAAGAUCAAAUAGAAGAUUUGUUAUCGGUAAGAGGUAGAGAAGAAGUUGGAGUAAUAGUAGUGAUAAUGUUGUUAUCUGUUGAUGAUUCAGAUUUGAAGAAGGUAAUGAAUUAUGAGUUAGGGUUUCAUUUGAGGCUCAAAGAAGAAUUAGAAGAUGAAGACGACGGUUUAGAGGAUUGAACUAACUUGGGUUUAUUACGAAUUAGAAUAUCAGGUUGAAGAGUGAUUUGAAUUUGAUAUUAGGGUUUCUGAGUUUGAUUCAGAGAUGAGUUUGAAGAUAAAAUUAAACUCAGAGAAGAUGUAAUUGACGCUCAAGAGGGAUGAUUGAAGAUGGGUUUUGUGUUAAUUUAUCAGUUGUAGCUGUUUUUGAUGAAGAAUCGGUGAAUUAGGGUUCCUCUGUAAAUCAAAGAUGGUGAUGAAGGUUGCUGGUGUUUAUAGUUUUGAGAUGAUUGUUCAAUUGAGGCAAAGGAAGAAAUAAGUCGACCUCAGUUGCCUGAGCAACACUGAUUUGAGGUAAUUGCUCUUAUUACUAAUAAUCGAUUCAAGUUCUUUAUUGAGUUUAUGAGUUUUUUAAUGAAUUUAGAAUUGACAUGGAAUUGUUGGUGGUUGUGGAUAUGAGCUGUAUGAGAUGUUGCAGGGAGUGUGUGUUAUCUAAGUUGAGAUUUAGCUUAGUUGUUGUAGUUGAGUCAUGGAAUUACAGGGUUGAGUAUAAAAAGAGAUAAGUUGUAUUUGAGUUACAGAUUGGUGGUGAUGUAACUAAGAUUUGAAUUACAGUUGGUAGUGUUAAACUGAACCCAGCUGAAGUGGUGUAUGGUUUUGAUUGUAGUGAUAAUCUGAAGCAGUGUAUGGUUUUAAUUGUAGUGAUAAUCUGAAGUAGAUGUUAAGUGAGGUGAUGCUGGGAUGGUGGUGUUAUUUUUGCUACUGUGAUGUUGUGGAAUGGAGGAUAGGAGUUGGAGGUAUGUUGAUUAAGAAUUGGAAUUAGUUAUGGUUAUAACUGAAUUGAUGUUGCAGAUAUGGAUUUAGUGUUGUAUUGCCGAUGAAGAUGUUUGAGGUAGGUGGUAUGUUUUUGAAUGGUAAUGGUGGCAGUAACUGAAUCCCAGUGAACUGGAUGGCUGGUUUAACUGAAAUAAGAAGCAUUCAGUGUAUGUGAUAGAAUAUGUAAGCUGAAGUAAGUUGUAGUGCUGUUAUGGCAGUGGUCUUAGUGAAAGCAUGCAAUGCAGAUCAAGUUUCAGAGACAGAUCAGAGUUGCGCAGCGAAAGCUUCAAGGGUUGAUUUCGUUAGUCGGUUAACUUAUACUAUGUUUAAUAUAUUGCAUAUUGUAUUUGUAAACCAAAUGACUAUUGUAUAUGUAUCAUUUGAGAGGAGUUUAUGAUUGAAUGCUUAAGUUUAUGAAUUA